rnacentral:rRNA from 1 species
UACAGAGGUCUCAAGCGUUGUUCGGAUUCAUUGGGCGUAAAGGGUGCGUCGGCGGCGCGGUCAGUCGGGUGUGAAAUCUUGGAGCUUAACUCCGAAACUGCAUUCGAUACUGCCGUGCUUGAGGACUGGAGAGGAGACUGGAAUUUACGGUGUAGCGGUGAAAUGCGUAGAUAUCGUAAGGAAGACCAGUGGCGAAGGCGGGUCUCUGGACAGUUCCUGACGCUGAGGCACGAAGGUCAGGGGAGCAAACGGG